rnacentral:rRNA from 1 species
CUGCGAAUGGCUCAUUAAAUCAGUUAUCGUUUAUUUGAUAGUACCUUACUACUUGGAUAACCGUGGUAAUUCUAGAGCUAAUACAUGCUAAAAACCUCGACUUUGGAAGAGGUGUAUUUAUUAGAUAAAAAACCAAUGCCCUUCGGGGGCUCCUUGGUGAUUCAUGAUAACUUAACGAAUCGCAUGGCCUUGCGCCGGCGAUGGUUCAUUCAAAUUUCUGCCCUAUCAACUUUCGAUGUUUGGGUCUUGGCCAAACAUGGUUUCAACGGGUAACGGGGAAUUAGGGUUCGAUUCCGGAGAGGGAGCCUGAGAAACGGCUACCACAUCCAAGGAAGGCAGCAGGCGCGCAAAUUACCCAAUCCCGAUUCGGGGAGGUAGUGACAAUAAAUACUGAUACAGGGCUCUUUUGGGUCUUGUAAUUGGAAUGAGUACAAUUUAAAUCCCUUAACGAGGAACAAUUGGAGGGCAAGUCUGGUGCCAGCAGCCGCGGUAAUUCCAGCUCCAAUAGCGUAUAUUAAAGUUGUUGCAGUUAAAAAGCUCGUAGUUGAACCUUGGGCCUGGCUGGCCGGUCCGCCUCACCGCGUGCACUGGUCCGGCCGGGUCUUUCUUCCUGAGGAACCGCAUGCCCUUCACUGGGUGUGUUGGGGAAUCAGGACUUUUACUGUGAAAAAAUUAGAGUGUUCAAAGCAGGCCUAUGCUCGAAUACAUUAGCAUGGAAUAAUAAAAUAUGCCGUGAGGGUCUUAUUUUGUUGGUUUCUAAGACCGCCGGAAUGAUUAAUAGGGAUAGUCGGGGGCAUCAGUAUUCAAUUGUCAGAGGUGAAAUUCUUGGAUUUAUUGAAGACUAACUACUGCGAAAGCAUUUGCCAAGGAUGUUUUCAUUAAUCAGUGAACGAAAGUUAGGGGAUCGAAGACGAUCAGAUACCGUCGUAGUCUUAACCAUAAACUAUGCCGACUAGGGAUCGGGCGAUGUUAUCUUUUUGACUCGCUCGGCACCUUACGAGAAAUCAAA